rnacentral:rRNA from 1 species
AGCUCCAAUAGCGUAUAUUAAAGUUGUUGCAGUUAAAAAGCUCGUAGUCGGAAUUCGUGGGUUACUCUGUUGUCCCGGUGGUAAUCGGAAGAUUAUCAUUCGGGCUCAGGGUAGCUCGUAAUAAUCGCUCGGGUAAACCAUCUCUGCUCUUAAUUGAGUGGGGGUGGAGUCCGGGCUGUUUACCUUGAAGAAAUUGGGGUGUUCAAAGCGGGUAAUUUUAUGCCUUCGAACAUAUUAGCAUGGGAUAAUGGAACAUGAUCCUAUUGGAGUUGGGUUGGUCACUCCGGUGGGAUAAUGAUCGAUAGGGGCGAUGGGGGCAGUUGAUAUUCAGCGGUUAGAGGUGAAAUUCUUAGAUUCGCUGAAGAUUAACAGCAGCGAAAGCGUUCUGCUACGGCAU